CUCUCUGUGCAGCGGGGUGUGGCUCUGCCUGUGUGCUUGGUUAGAAGAGGCUUGUGAGCCUAACCCAGCAAGGCCAAGUAAAGGGGAACCCACUCUUACAGAAUACACUGGCUCAAUAGCAUCCCAGCAUAUCAGGUGAUCCCCUAAGGGGUUCAAACCUGUCACACCCCUCUCCCAGCCUCCAACAAUACAAAAAUGUCAUUCAUUCAUUUUAUGAAUGCACUGUAGUUUUAGCCAUGUUGGUCCCAGAAUAUUAGCGAGACAAGGUGGGUGAGGUGGUAUCUUUUACUGGACCAACUUCUGUUGGUGAGAGAGACCAGCUUUCGAGCCACACAGAGCUCUUCUUCAGCUCAUCUUCAACAGGAUUGGGAGAUGCUAAGUGCUGCAAAAAGCAGCAAGAAAUACCCCUGGAGAAUGUAGACUAACACGGCUGCUACUCUGAAACCAGUGAGUCUGAAAUUUGUGGAAGAAUAUGGCAGAGGGCUUAUCUCAGGAGGGGUGGUGCACGGAAAGGAAGAAGGUGGCAGUGGACUGUAGAACUGCUUCUGAUUGGUCCAGUAUAGUUAUCAUUUCACUGUGGACAGCUGCUGGGUAAGUUUGCUGCUUGUCUGCCUGACUGUCUUUCUCUCUCGCUGCUGCUCUCUAUACUUUACCCCCUCACUAGCCAUGUGUUCUGCUAACUAACAAAGAAGUAUUUUUCUCUCUUGCUGUUUUCUAUACUUUACUUAUUUCACUGAACACAGGCUCUCUAGCUAAUUUUUAAAAUUCCCUUUUUUCUGUCAUGCUUUCUGUCAGCCUAAUUCUUUUUUUUACCUUUAUAUUUUCUUUUUAUUUCAAUUUUUUUCUAUUCUAUAACCUUUAUUCCGGAAAACUUUUUUCUUUAAAACCCUCACUCCUCAAUAAACCAACAUCUUUGUUUUCUUUGAAAUGAUAACCAACCUCUCUUCUUACUAAACCUAACCAAACAAUCUUUAUUUUUUUAAUCUGCUUUCUUUAAGUUCUCUCUCAAAACCCAGUCAAACGUGUCGAAACACAAGCACACAAUAUUUCCCUUUUCCUCCUUCCUACCCCCCACCCUACCCCAAAUCAAAAUGGCUGAUGGCACCAAACCUGGACAUGACUGGAAAUGGAGGGCGGGACAUAAAUCCUAAAUGGGGCAUGGAAACCUGUCAAAGAAUACAUGGUGAUGAGUG